rnacentral:lncRNA from 1 species
CGGAGUUUCACCGUGUUAGCCAGGAUGGUGCUCAUCUCUGUUUAAGGAACAGCCGAGAGUCCCUGGAGGCGCCAAGUCUUCUCUUCUAUGGAACUACGCCAGCAGGAAUCUCUAUGAGGGUUCCUAGGAAUUCCGUACCUGAGUGAAUGCAGACUUUUUGCACAAACUUCCAGGUGUAAUCUAAACUCCUCAGCCAGGAAUAUAGGCCCUUCCUGAACUGACCUUCCACAGCCGCAGCUGUAUGGCCUCCUGGCCCCAUGUGCCUGCCGUGUACGUCGUUCUUCUGUGUGAACCGAUCUUGCUCUCCUGGAGUCUCUCUGGCGUUUUCUUUGUUAUUCAGUCCCAGUCCUGCAGUAUCCUCCUUGCCUCUGGACUCUCCCGUCUUCCUCCAAGUCCAUGGAGUGCCCUGUGUAGACUGUCAAGAGGCCACAAAACCAAGUCACAGAGCUGACAACCAUCCCCAAAGUCAACCAGCACAGCAGAUUGGAGAGUGGGAUUAUAUUAGGGAGGCUUAAUCUCAAAAAAAAAAAAAAGUCAAAAUUCACCUACUUAUAAAUUACCUGCAAGUAGACCAAAAAAAAAAAACUCAUUAAAGAAUGUGAUUGCUUAUGAAAAUAGCCACCAUUUCCCAUUGCACAGAAAUUGCUUAUGAUUGUCAAUAACGAAGGGGAAACAUGAGCUGUGGUCAUGGAAUUUGGAAAUGUAACUGGAUAUUGCGGAAAUAUUUAAACAGAAUUCUGUUUGUCUACACCUUAUGGCUAAAUAACUAGACCAUGCUGUGAAUAGAUAGCUCUGCAUUUUAACAGCAUAUUUAAAUUAUGGCCGCGUUCCCAGACAGGACUGAAUGGCCAGGAUGACCAAACAGUGUGCUGCUUAGUGGGGAGAUCAAUUUCCAGAACUCCGGCUCAUGGGGGAAAAGCAGACUUUGGCAUCCGUUGGGUGCUGGGAACACAAGACUCUCCAUAAACCUGGUGUUGGGGGUGGCCUUUUAUGGUUAUUUGGUUUUAUUUCACUUUUAGUUUAUUUUUUAUUGUGGUAAAAUAUACAUAACACAAAGUUUGCUAUUGUAACCAUUUUUAAGUGCACAAAUCAGUGGCAUUAAGUGCAUUCAUCAUGAUUUUAUUUCCUCUUAUUAAGGAAUUAUAGAUUGGACACAGGACAAGAUAACUUCAAGUGAGGUAAAAAAUGCAGACUGUUGGCCUGACUCAGUGACUCACCCUUGUAAUCCCAGCACUUUGGGAGGCCGAGGAAGGCGGAUCACUUGAGUCCAGGAGUUUGAGGCCAGCCUGGCUAACUUGGAGAAACCCCGCCUCUACUAAACAUAAAAAAAUUAGCCAGGUAUAGUGGCGUGCACCUGUAAUCCCAGCUACUUGGGAGGCUGAGGCAGCAGAAUCACUUGAACCUGAGAGGUGCAGGCUGCAGUGAGCUGUGAUCGUGCCACUACACUCCAGCCUGGGCAACAGAGCGAGACUCUGUCUCAAACGAAAAAACAAAAGAUUUCUUUCUGUCAUAGGUUUUAAAAAAAUAGACUGCCAAGUGUCUGCUUUUUUGUUUUUUUCUUUUGAGACAGCAUCUCACUCUGUUGUCCAGGCUGGAGUAGUGGCACGAUCACGGCUCACUGCACCCUCAACCUCCUGGGCUCAAGUGAUCCUCCCACCUUGACCUCCCAAAGUGCUGAGAUUACAGGCAUGAGCCACUAUGCCCGGCUGAAAAGAAAUCUUUCUGCCCAAUAAGAAAUUUGAGAAUUUGAUGGGCUAUGUUCUCCUGGUACAGGGAGAAGGAAACAACUCCUUUAGAAGCCUGCUGAUACCAUGCAGGCUGUUGUUUUUGCAGAGCAUUUUAUGCUUUCUGUUUUGGAGCGAGCAUUCUGGUUUGUAGGAUGAACGUAUCUCAAGACGAGGUGGGCAGGCUGUCAGCAAAAUAAGAGGAAAAGAUGGUACCACCACAAAUGCCGAGCCCGUGAGAACUGAACGCAUAUCCCCAGAAUUCUGGACGCUUGACAAGCCCUCCCAAUGCCUCACUUGUAGCUGAGACUAUACGGUGAAAUGAUAAGGGAAACACUGAAAAGAAAACAUUCUGGUUUGGGAGUGGAAUUAUUUUAGUCUUCUCCUGGGUUGUAAUGUUCAUUUGACCUCACUAAUGUGCACAGAGUUUUAAAAAAAUUUGUUCCAACUGAAAGAUAACCCUCAUUCUGCAUGGAAACGUCUUUUGAACAAUCAUUAACUAAUGGAUUGAUGGUGAGAAAUUUGACUCCGCAUGGAAAUUAACUUGCAAAAGCAUGACAUAAAGCUUCUCUGUUCUUUCUGUGAGAAAUUUUCUCCCAAAUGGUUUUUCAAGAUGAGUAAAAGUGCAUAAUUGUGGCUGUCACUAGAUCUUCUCCUUCAUUUUGGGGGUCUAUUCUUACUU